GCUGUGAUUUCACAAUGUCCUGUUUGUGAGAAGAUGACAACUAUAUGAGCGUGGCAGCUCUAUCACCCCAGGCAGAAAGGCGACGAUUACGACCCUCGUUGCGCAGCGUGUGGCGGUAGAUUUGCAGCUGCUCCGCAGCCUCGGGACCAGGCUGCCGGGCCAGGAUGUGCUUCAGCUCCACAUACAGUUUCUCCUUUUCCUGGUGGAGAGCAAAACCACAAGGGAGAUUCUUGAACUACGGAAACUACAUACAAGGG